rnacentral:rRNA from 1 species
GAUGAACGCUGGCGGCGUGCCUAAUACAUGCAAGUCGAGCGAACAGACGAGGAGCUUGCUCCUCUGACGUUAGCGGCGGAAGUGUGAGUAACACGUGGAUAACCUACCUAUAAGAAUGGGAUCACUUCGGGAAACCGGAGCUCAUACCGGAUAAUAUAUUGAACCGCAUGGUUCAAUAGUGAACGACGGUUUUGCUGUCACUUAUAGAUGGAUCCGCGCCGCAUUAGCUAGUUGGUAAGGUAACGGCUUACCAAGGCAACGAUGCGUAGCCGACCUGAGAGGGUGAUCGGCCACACUGGAACUGAGACACGGUCCAGACUCCUACGGGAGGCAGCAGUAGGGAAUCUUCCACAAUGGGCGAAAGCUUGACGGAGCAACGCCGCGUGAAUGAUGAAGGUCUUCGGAUCGUAAAACUCUGUUAUUAGGGAAGAACAAAUGUGUAAGUAACUAUGCACGUCUUGACGGUACCUAAUCAGAAAGCCACGGCUAACUACGUG